rnacentral:rRNA from 1 species
UACGAAGGGUGCAAGCGUUACUCGGAAUUACUGGGCGUAAAGCGUGCGUAGGUGGUUCGUUAAGUCUGUCGUGAAAGCCCCGGGCUCAACCUGGGAAUGGCGAUGGAUACUGGCGAGCUAGAGUGCGGUAGAGGAGAGUGGAAUUCCCGGUGUAGCAGUGAAAUGCGUAGAGAUCGGGAGGAACAUCAGUUGCGAAGGCGGCUCUCUGGACCAGCACUGACACUGAGACGCGAAAGCGUGGGGAGCGAACAGG